GCAACUCAGUGGUAGAGUACUGUAUCUGCUUUGUAUGCAUAAGGCCUAGGUUCAAUCCCAGCAUCUCCA